rfam:Bacteria symbiont BFo1 of Frankliniella occidentalis strain BFo1 contig018, whole genome shotgun sequence.
AAGAGCACGACAUUGCUCACAUUGCUUCCAGUAUUUUUAGCCCACCCUGCGUGGGCUUUUUUUU